GGUCUGCUAACUAUUCGAAAUUGCUCAGUGUUUCUAGUUAGAUCUUUAGUCUUGUAACUUGUUACGUAUGCACAAUGACGAUUUGAUAUGCUUUCGCUUCUUCUUUGUUUGACUCUCUCUCAUUUGCGUAGUGUUUUAUUUUAAUCCUUCUCAGUUUCUAAUCCAAGGAUUUUCUUUCUUGUUUUGUAGUUUGUAGUUAAGUUAAUUAGAGGUUCCAAAAGAAGAAGUUGGUUUUAGUUUUGUCUUUCUUCCUUUUCUUUUGGCAAGAAGAUCAGAAAUAUGGCUGAGGAAGUCGUUUUAAGGGUAGUUCGAGCACUUAAAGGCUCCAUCCUUAGGCAAGUGAAGUUCUUGAGUGGUGUCAACCAUCAAGUUCUGGAUGCAAAACAUUAGCUAUUUUUUAUAGAGGGUUUUCUGAAAGACGUGAAUGCAAGACAAGUAGAGCAUGAAUCAGUAUGCAUUUUGGUCGAGUAUUUGGUGAAAGAAGAAAAACUCUACCGAGUUGUUUCCAUUUGAGGAAUGGGAGGAUUUGGAAAGAUCACUUUUGCAAAACGAGUUUAUCAUCACAGUAAAGGAUUUGGAAAGAUUACUUUGAUGGGUUUUCUUAGGUGUGUGUACUGAACAAUGUCAAAUAGGAAAGUACACACAUCCAAGAAAACCCAGACUUUCUUAUUUGACAUUGUUCAAUGCACACACCCAAGAAAACCCAUCAAAGUAACCUCUAACUUUACUGUGAUGAUAAACUCGUUUUGCAAAAGUGAUAUAUCCAAACCCUCCCAUUCCUCAAAUUGAAACAACUUGGUUGAGUUUUCUUCUUUCACCAAAUACUCAACCAAAAUGCAUACUGAUUCCUGCUCGACUUGUCUUGCAUCCACGUUUUUCAGAAAGCUCUCUAUAAAAAAUAGCUCAUGUUCUGCAUCCAGAAAUGGUUGACACCACUCAAGAACUUCACUCCCCUAAGGAUGGGGCCUUUGAGUGCUCGAAGUACCCUUAAAAUGACUUCCUUAGCCAUAUUUCUGAUCUUCUUGCCAAAAGAAUGGGAAGAAAACUAAAACCAACUUCUUCUUUUGAAACCUCUAAUUAACUCAACUACAUACUACAAAACAAGAAAGAAAAUUUCUGGGUUAGAAACUAAGAAGAAUUAAAAUAAAACUCUCCGCAAAUGAGAGAGAGUCUAACAACGAAGAAGCAAAAGCAUAUCAAAUCGUCAUUGUGUAUACGUAACUAGUUACAAGACUAAAGAUCUAACUAGUUAGCAGACCCAAAACUCCAAGGGGUCAACUUCAAACCUCCCAAGAUGAUUUUAGGAACUUGUACAUGAAACAAAAAAAAUACCCAAAACAAAAAAUGAAGCAUAUCACUAUGAACCAUACCCUAAUUAUCAGUUAAGAAAAGAUGAAAGUGAUAGGGUUUAUGUCAAAACCCCAAACAAAAGCCGUGUUUUCUCCAUUCACCUCUUUUCCCGAGGACUGUGAAAUACCAGUGGAACAAUUGACUUAAUUAUGGAUAGCUGAAGGUUUUAUAUCAGCAUCUACAAAUAAAAAGAUAGAAGACAUAGCAUAUGAGUGCUUAAUUGAGUUGAAACGCUUGUGUUUGGUUCAAGUUGGAAGAAUGUAUUCACUUUGCAAGUUCAAGUUGGAACGUCUCCAUGAUCUUAUUGUUGCGAGUUAUACAUUAGUUAAAAUGUAAAUAGUAGUUUAUUGUCCCACAUUGGUGAAGUACAUAUGUAAUACCAAUUGUAACUCCUAUAUAUACUCCACUUUGGAGAUUAAUGAAAUAUAAGAAAUUCCCAAAUAUUGUCAUAUAUAUUUUUGGUAUUUACCAUGUUUAGUUUAAUAUUGGUAUUUACCAUGUUUAGUUCAAUAUGGCAUCAGAGCAGUUCGCUCUUGGUGACUUGUGUGCUUUAAAUUUUGUGCCCACAUUUUUCGUGAUUUCCUCCGUGUGAAAAAAAAAAAAAAAAAGUGCCGUGAACAGUGAUUGGUAUUUGCUACAGUACCGUGAACAGUGAUUGCUACAGUCUCUGGUAAAUUGUUUUCAUUCCGCUGCGUAUCUUUUGUGCCUUUAUUGUUCGUGAUUUUGUUCAAUGGCUCAAUAUAAUCAUAGUGUUGUUAUGCAUCUUGGUGGAACAAAUAAAUGGAUAAUUGAUACUGGGGCCACUAAUCAUGUGACAAGUGACCCUAGAGUGUUUGAUGAGUUAUGUGAUUAUGUUCGUGAUCCGUAUAUUACUAGUGCAAAUGGAGCACUUUCCCUUGUGAAGGGUGAAGGCACUAUCUCUUUGACUCCAACCUUAUCACUGGUCCGUGCUUUACUUGUUCCUGAUAUUAAGUGCAAUCUUUUGUCGGUAGGAAAACUUCUUGAUACUUUAUAUUGUUCUGCUCACUUCUAUCCUACGUAUUGUUAUUUUCGAGAUAUUCAAACUUAGAAGAUAAUUGGUUAUGGUAAAAGGAUAGGGGGUUUGUACAUCUUGACUAUGGAGGAUACUGUUGUUUCCGGUUCAAAUAAUCAUCAAGUUUUAAGUGCUAAAGUGGAUAACAGACAUCAAAUUUGGUUGUGGCAUCGACGAUUGGGACAUCCAUCAUUCAGUUAUAUGAAGCAUCUAUUUCCUUCUUUGUUUCGCACUUGUAGUGAUUCAGAGUUCAAGUGUGAAACAUGUGUCAUGGCUAAGAGUCAUCGUGCUUCCUUUCCUGUAAGUGAUUCUAAAGCUACUUUACCAUUUGAUUUGAUACAUUCUGAUGUGUGGGGUCCUGCAAAAGUUACUUCUAAUGGAUUCCGUUGGUUUGUUACUUUUAUUGAUGAUUGUACUCGGGUAACUUGGGUGUUCUUGAUGAAAAAUAAGAGUGAUGUUCCGUUACUUCUUCAAGAAUUUUGUACAAUGGUAUCUACUCAGUUUCAGACCAAAGUUAAGGUCUUCAGGUCUGAUAACGGAGGAGAAUAUGUGAAUCACACUUUGGCAUGUUUUUUUCCGUGAUCAUGGUAUUAUUCACCAGACGACUACUCCGUUUACACCCCAACAAAAUGGUGUGUCCGAACGGAAGAAUCGUCAAAUAAUGGAGGUUGCUCGCUCCUUGAUGCUAGAUAAAUGUGUUCCUAAUCAUUUGUGGGGUCAUGCUGUUUUGGCUGCUGUGUAUUUGAUCAAUCGUGUUCCAAGUCGGGUUCUUGAUUUUCAGACACCGUUUGAUGUGCUACAAAAACAUGUUUCUCUUGUUUCUGUCUCAAAGCUUCCUCCGAAAGUGUUUGGGUGUAUUGCGUAUGUGCAUGUCUACUCUCAUCAGCGGAGUAAACUUGAUGCAUGUGCUCUCCGGUGUGUCUUUAUUGGGUAUGCUAACAAUCAAAAAGGCUAUAAGUGUUAUCAUCCUCCGACUCAAAAAACUUAUAUUACCAUGGAUGUCACCUUCCAUGAGGAAGUUUCGUAUUUUGUGAAGCCCUCUUCCGACUCUCCACUUCAGGGGGAGAGGGGGAGUGAAGUGCAGAUUCGAAGAGAUGAUAUGGAUGAUGUGUUACAGACAGAGUUGGGAACAGAACCUAUUAUUUUGCGUGAUACUAAUCAGUCGGCUACAGAUGAUCAGUUGCCUGCUGCGGAUAUAUCUGAUGAUCGGUUGCCUGCUGCUGAUAUGUCUAACGAGUUGCCUGAUGAUGGUUCGUCCAGUGAUGAUUCUUCUAACUGUUUGGUACAAGAUGGUGGCAUACAUGAGGUAAAUUCUGACGAUUCUUCUACUUAUCAGUUGCCUCCACGAGCUAAUCGUGGAAAACCUAAAAUACAAUAUGAGCCUGAUAUGCAUGCCAAAGCCAAAUAUCCUAUCAACAAUUAUGUGUCUUCUCAUCGUUUGUCCCAACCAUAUGCAUCUUACAUAUGUCAGCUAUCUAGUGUAUCAAUUCCAACAAAAUUGCAAGAUGCUUUGUCUGACCCUAAGUGGGUUAAUGCUAUGAAAGUUGAGAUGGAAGCUUUGGAAAAGAAUUCUACUUGGGAUUUGGUUCCGUUACCAAACGGGAAGAAAGCCGUUGGAUGUAGAUGGGUGUUUACUAUUAAGCACAAAGCAGAUGGUUCUAUUGAUCGGUAUAAAGCCAGAUUAGUUGCUAAGGGUUAUACUCAAACCUAUGGGGUGGACUAUCAGGAGACCUUUGCUCCUGUUGCCAAACUUAAUACUGUGCGUGUUCUUCUGUCCUUGGCAGCAAACCAGGAUUGGCCUCUGUUGCAGUUUGAUGUUAAGAAUGCUUUCCUUCAUGGUGAUCUUAAGGAGGAAGUGUAUAUGGAUCUCCCACCUGGUAUUGGAACAUCUCCUGGAAAAGGUAUUGUAUGCAGGUUACGAAAUGCCUUGUAUGGUUUGAAACAAUCUCCUAGAGCAUGGUUUGGGAGGUUUACAAGUUCAAUGAAGAAGUUUGGGUAUAUCCAGAGUCAUUCAGAUCAUACUUUGUUUCUAAAGCGACAAAAUGGUAAGCUAACUGCAUUGAUUAUUUAUGUUGAUGACAUGAUAGUGACUGGUGAUGAUCAAAAGGAGAUACAACACCUUCAAAAGUACCUAGCUACUGAGUUUGAGAUGAAAGAAUUGGGUGAAUUGAAGUAUUUUCUUGGAAUCGAGGUUGCACGAUCCAAGCAUGGUAUUUUUCUAUCUCAAAGGAAGUAUGUUCUUGAUUUGUUAGCUGAAACAGGUAUGUUAGAUUGCAAACCUGUUGAUACUCCGAUUGAGCAGAAUCAUCGUCUGGGCUUAUUUCCAGAUCAAGUUCCAACUCAUAAGGAACGGUAUCAGAGGCUUGUGGGGAGAUUAAUUUAUUUGUCUCACACUCGCCCUGACAUUGCUUAUGCAGUUAGUGUGGUAAGUCAGUUUAUGCACUCACCUAGUGAAGUUCAUAUGGAUGCAGUAACUCGUAUUUUGAGGUACUUGAAGAUGGCUCCUGGCAGAGGCCUGGUUUUCUCCAAGAAUGAUCAUUUGAAUGUCGAAGGGUAUACAGAUGCAGAUUGGGCUGGUUCUAUCACUGAUCGGCGAUCUACAUCUGGAUACUUUAUGUUUGUGGGUGGUAAUUUAGUUACUUGGAGAAGCAAGAAACAAAAAGUGGUGGCUAGGUCAAGUGCAGAAGCUGAGUUUCGUGGUAUGUCUCAUGGUGUAUGUGAGUUGUUGUGGUUGAAAAAAUUGUUGAGAGAUCUUGGGUUUAAACACAAAAGUGCUAUGAAACUUCAUUGUGAUAACAAGGCUGCUAUUGAGAUUGCUCAUAAUCCAGUGCAACAUGAUCGAACAAAACAUGUGGAGAUUGAUCGACAUUUCAUUAAGGAAAAAUUGGAUGCUGGAAUUAUUAUGUUUCCGUUUGUGAGAUCUGAAGAUCAACUGGCUGAUGCUCUUACUAAGGCUGUGUCUAAUAGUGCGUUUUCCGACUCGCUUGACAAGUUGGGCAUGCGUGACAUCUUUGCACCAACUUGAGGGGGAGUGUUGCGAGUUAUACAUUAGUUAAAAUGUAAAUAGUAGUUUAUUGUCCCACAUUGGUGAAGUACAUAUGUAAUACCAAUUGUAACUCCUAUAUAUACUCCACUUUGGAGAUUAAUGAAAUAUAAGAAAUUCCCAAAUAUUGUCAUAUAUAUUUUUGGUAUUUACCAUGUUUAGUUUAAUAUUGGUAUUUACCAUGUUUAGUUCAAUACUUAUAUGAGAGCAUCUUAGAGGCGAACUUCGUACAUUGUCAAUUGUUCUAGAGACACGGUAAAAGUAUGUUAUACUUUCUUGUAUUCAUUAAGCCUUUUCUUUUGUUUGGUAAGAUUAUUCUUGUUGUAUCCAUUAUUUUGAUUGGAAGAUUGAUCGCUGCCUAUGGACAUAGGCACAAAUUGACGAACCACGUAAAUCCUUGGGCCUCGUUUGGCAGCUCGGAUUGUACUAACUAUUUCUGUUGGAUAGGAUAAAUAGCCACCGGAUAGUAUUGAAUAAAUUAGUUGGACGUUUGGUGCAGUAUCAGAUUAAUGACCAUAUUAUUUAUACUGUGUUUGGUAUUGAACCGGAUAGGACAAGAGGAAAAAAAAAUUAAUUUGUUGAAAUUUUCUCAUAUUUAUACCUAUUGAAAACCACACAAAUUUUCAAAUAACAAAGAAAAAUAGUAAAUUUCAUACAUCAAAUUCAAAAUAUUUUCCAAUAACAUAAAAGAAGGUUCACAAAAAAACAACUACAAUCGUUACGUUAUAUAAUUCAACCACAUAUUCAGGUUCAUUAAAUAUACAAAUACAAGUUGGUUUCAGUAAGAAACAGUUUGUCCAGAUAGCCAAAAUAUAUGCAUGCUGCUUUUAACAAAAGAUAUGCAUGAUAUUUUUAACAAAACAUAUUGUUGUUGGUUUGAAAUGUCAAUUGCGGUUGUCCAAGUAACAUGAGUACGAAAGCUUUUUUCAUUGCACCAUCCAAAGACAAGAAUGUCCUCUCAUUCUGUGGCUUUUCAAAAAGAAUAUUUAGUGUCUUGAUUUGAUCCUCAAUAGAUAAGUCCUCUCAUUCUGUGGCUUUUCAAAAAGAAUAUUUAGUGUCUUGAUUUGAUCCUCAAUAGAUAAAUCUAUCUUUGACAAUUCUAAAGCAAUCUCAGGUUUUGGAUCCACUCAUUUCCCAAAAGCAGCUUGUAAAACUUCAUCCAACUUAUCCAUUGAUUUAGAAAGCAUUUCUUUAAAUGCCACAGGAAGAUCAUUAUCAUUAGCAACUCUCUUCCUUUUCCGGGUACUUGAACUGCCAGACCGUCGAGCAACAGAAGGAGAACUAGUCUCCACCUCAUCUUCAUCUUCAUCUUCAUUAAUGUGCGCAAGCUAAUUCAUCAUCUGAGUAGGAGUUGUAGCUCCUACUCCGGUUGCUCGGUCUUUCCCAAAAAUAACAUUCAAUCUGUCAUACAAUGGAAACGAUUUUCCUAGCCAGCCCUCUGCUUCUUUGUUAACCUGCAAUGGGAAAACAAAUCACAUUAUCCAUAAAAUACAAAUAAUCUUAUUUUGUUCCCUUCAACCUGUCUUAAUAUAAUCAAGCAUCCAUUAAUUUAAUUAAGCUGUCAUAAUGAAUGGGGCUAAAGGAUAUGGUUUGGUAGACACAAUCAUACUAUUAAAUUGUAUGUAAAGGAACAUGUUAAGUAAUCAAAUAUGUAAAGUUAAAUUCUAGUAUUAUGUUAGAGAAUUACGUUUGCAUAGGACCGCCAUACUUUAGUGCUAUCAACCUCAAUACACUUUCGUACAUCAUUCCAUGCAAAACCAGUUUUAUUAACCAUGUCAUAAACUAUUGCAUAAUCUUUUUUCCACCUCCUCAUUUUGGACUCAAUAUAUGGAACUGCCUUUAUAUUGGCAUUAGGACAUUUCAAAUUAAUAGUUGUUUCAAACUGAGCCAUUGUUCCGAGUUUGAAACAACCGUUAUCACAUCGCAAAUUCUUAACAACUGCCUCCUCAAGUAUGGACAACAAUGCAUCUUCUUCAUGUUGUUUCCAAACCCUUUUACUCCCUUUUGGUUGACUACUUUGUUCACUUUCCAUUCCUAUAAUUACAUACACAAUAAGAUAGCAUAUAAUCAACAGUGCAUAUAAUUAAUAGUAAGUGAUAAAAACCAUAAGCAGAUCAUCACACUUUUUAAAUAAAUACAUAACCAUAUCACACUUUGUUCAAAUAAAGUAUCAUAACCGAAUACAUAAGAAAUCACUAUUUGUUCAAAUAACAAACCAUAACCAAAUGACAACAUGCAUAUGUAAGAAAAUUUAAUCAAAUCACACUUGUGCACGCCACUCAUUGUACAUAUUCAUAGCCAAAGUGUUUCUCCAUGCAGUCCAUUCUUGUGUAGGUUGAACAGUCUCAAUCAUAUCUUCAUCAUCAUCACUACUUUCAGAUUCGUCCAUGUUUAGAAUUUCAUUUUCUAUCGGAUCAGCUGACAUAUGCCUUCUAAUAAGAUUAUGUAAGAGGCAGCAGGCUGUCAUAAUCCUAAGUUGUGUUUUAAUUGGGAAAAAUGAUGGACCUCUUAAGAUGCUCCAACGCAUCUUAAGUAGUCCAAAACAUCUCUCAAUGACAUUUCUAGCUUGAACAUGUUUCAUAUUGAAAUACUCCUCAUGAUUAAUUGGGAGUCUUCUAUUUCUCCACUCCGAGAGAUGGUAACGCACUCCCCUAUACGGUGCAAGGUAUCCUGGACCAUUUGUGUACCCACCAUCCACAAGGUAGUAACACCCUAAAACACCAAAAAAUGUAUGUUACUAUAUAUAAGAAAAUUGAGGCUUCAAAUUACUAAUAUAAACAAAUAAUCUAUUGUUGCCCGUGGGAACUUUUAAUCCCGAUGGUCUACUUAUCGCAUCUCGGAGUACUCUAGAAUCAAAGGCCGACCCCCUGGGUACACAAAUAUAAAAUUCAUGUCCAGAUUACAAACUCCCAACAUAUUGGUCGCAAUCUCCCCCUUCCUUGAUCGGUAUCUUGGUUUAUCUCGCUUAGGGACAUGAACGUUAAUGUAAGUCCCAUCCAAUGCCCCCAAGCAAUUCUAAAAAAAAAAAUCAUUAACAUUAGUAAGCUCAAUAUAUUUAAUUACAUUAAUUUUAGAAGUAAUUUUUAUAAAAUAUGAAGAAUACCUCAAACCAACUCCAUUUAGGAUUUGGGUAGGCAUUAGGAAUGGGUUUUGGCACUUUCAAAAGUCUACAUUGUAGCCUUAACACUCCAUGUAGAAUGGAAUUGAAAUACCUACUUAUGGUCUCCCCUGAUCGACAAAACCUACUCCCAAUUGUACGAUUCUUGACAUGAUGUGCAAGUAUAUGCAAAAACAUGCAAACUUGUUCUUCCAUUGUCACUACACCAUCCAAUUUUACUCUAUCGUGGUCACGAAGCAUUUGACAUAAAUAAUGGAACGUUCUUCUAUCCAUUCUAAUUUGGUUCACACACUGAACAUCAUCAUAUCCUAUUAUGCUGUCUAAAUAGGCUGACCCUACCAUUCUCCUAACAAAUGUGCAAUUUCUAAGUGCAAGUUGCCAAUUCCGCCUUCUAGCUGAAUUAUGAUUCAUCAUGAACCACAUCAUCAACCAAGUCACAAUAUUCAAGUACCACAACUUAACAAUGAAGCAUGCACAAUCUUUCUUUCAUCCAUGUCUAGUGAAAAUAUAAAAUAACAUUAUUAGAUAGUGGCAAAAAAUUAAGUAACUGGAGCAUGAAGUCAUAAUAACACUGAAAACGGAAGGAAGCAUGUUAAUAAGUCCUACCAAAAAAUGUCAUAGGCAGAUAAUAAAUCCUACAGACUGUUGGGGUGAUCAGAAGGAAAAAUUACAAUGAAAUCAGAAAGAUGUCUUGACAUUCAUCAAUCAAGGAAGCAUGUUACGAAUCGAAUUCAAAAAAUCAAAACACCAAGUUCCGGAGAGAAAAGAAGUCUAGUCUAUGAUGACACUUUGUACGACCUCAAAGCAUUAUAUAUUCAUCACCUUAUGUUGCAUCAAAAUUGAGUGUCAUGUUGCAUCAAAAUUAAGCCGAAACAUUAGAAGAGCAGCAACUCUCCUUUUCUUCUCUAUUUCUCACUCACACUCUUUUUCUAAAAGGCAAUUACUUUACAAAGUGGAAUAAAUGCCAAUCAACAAUUCAACAACCCUAGUCCGAAAUUAUUCACACACACAUAUAUAUAUCCAGAUAAAAAGUAAAAUUCACAUAAAAAUUAAAAAAUGGAUAAAAGCUGAGAGGGAGUGAUGCAAAAAUUGAGAAGAACAGCAAUUUAUUGGGAUCUAAUUUUCGGGCCAUAGACGGUGAUGGGGAGUGAGAGAGAGAGAGAGAACAAGAGCGAAGAGAAAUUGGCUUACCCAGUUGUCCGUAUGGUUGCAUUGCAGCUGCGAGACAGCGAGUGAAAUGAGAGCUGCGCCAGAGACAAAGUUUUGUUUAGGUAAGUGAACAUGCACACUCCCACUCUACCCAAUCACUAAAGUUCUAAUUAAAGUUCAACAGCAACAACAAACCCUAAAUUCGACCCUAAUAGCAAACCCUAAAAUUCAAAAAUUCUAAUUAAAACACAAAAUUACAUAAUCAAUUGCAUAAUUAGAGAGAAAAUAAUAACUAGAUUCAAUCAAUUGCAAGAAAAAUAGGAGGGGGAAAAGGGAGGGGUGGAAUCCCAGAAGAAGAAAAGUAAAAGAUGAACUGUGAUUCAAACGAAGAAGAAGAAUUUGAGAAGACGAACCUGGGAUGAGAGCAAGAGUGCGUCUGGAGAGCAAGAGUGCGUCUGGAGAGGAAGAGAUAGCGUCUGGAGAGGAAGAGAGAGCGUCUGGAGAGGAAGAGAGAGCGCCUGGAGCGGAAAAGUGCGUUUGGAGAGGAAGCAGAAGAAGAGUGCGUCUGGAGAGGAAGGGGAAGAGUGCGUCUGGAGAGGAAGAGAGCCCGACUAAGUUAUACCAUGAAAUUGGAUGGUUUAAGCAAGCGGGUAAACACCAUGUAAAAAAGGUGGGCCCGGAUUAUUUAAUCUGGUGCCUAUUUAAUCCAAACAGCCACCAAACACCGUACACCGUAUUAUUAGUACUAUCCGGUGCCUUAUACAAUGUGCCAAACAGGGCCUUGGUGUCCAUCUUGCUACUGUACUUUGUGUUUUCUCUAUCCUGUAGUACUAUCAAUCUUAACAGUCUAGGUACAAUAACGAGUGAGCGUGUUAUUUUAUGAGCAUUGACUAUAAUUUAUAUGGAAACAACUCUUGGAUUUCCCUAUUAAAAUAGGAAACUAACACGCAAUUUCAAUCUAACUAUGUGUGUUAAGUAUCAUGAUUCAUUUAAAGUUUCAAUCCCAAACUAAUUAGGACAACAUUAAACUCUUUAUUAAGAUCUUUUCAUACCAAUUUGAAACACUAUAUUAGUCCAUAUAAUUGGAAAUCUAUCUAGUCAUUUAAGAAAAAGAAAAGGCCUAAUUGGAUAAAUGGUCCCCGUGGUCAUAAGGUAUUCGGAUGAUAGCCCCUGUGGUAAAAAAAUUCGGAUUUAAACUCCUGUGGUCUAAGUCUGUUAGGAUUUAAACCCCUGUGGUCUAAGUCUGUUAGGAUUUAUGCCAUUCUGUUAAAUAAUGCUAACGUGGCUGCCACAUAUAUGCCACGUGGCUGCCAAAUGUCUGCCACGUGGCAAAAAAAAUAAUUUUUUAUUUUUUUUAAAAAAAACCUGAAUUUUUACAAAAAAAAAAAAAAAACCAGAUCUGCAAGAAGAAGAAGACGGAAGAGGGAGAGGGAGGAGGGGGCGAGGAGAGGGCUCCGGCGAGGGGGAGCUGGUCUCCGGCGGGAAGAAGAAGAAGAAGAAGAAGAAGGAAGAGGGAGAGGGAGGAGUCGCGCGGGGAGACCGGCGGGAAGAAGAAGAAGAAGGAAGAAGGAGAGGGAGGAGGGUCGCGCGGGGAGAGGGCUCCGUCGGGGGGGGGAGCUGGUCUCCAGCGCGAAGAAGAAGAAGAAGAAGAAGGAGAAGAAGUCCGGCGGGGUGGGGGAACGGGUGGAGGGCGGGGGGGGGGAGUUUUCUGGGUUUCUGGUUUUUUUUUUUUUUUUUUUUUUUUUGGUAAAAAUUCAGGUUUUAAAAAAAAAAAAAUUAUUUUUGCCACGUGGCAGACAUUUGGCAGCCACGUGGCAUAUAUGUGGCAACCACGUCAGCAUUAUUUAACCGAAGGGCAUAAAUCCUAACAGACUUAGACCACAGAGGUUUAAAUCUGAAUUUUUUUACCACAGGGGUUAUCAUCUGAAUACCUUAUGACCACGGGAACCAUUUAUCCGAUUAGGCCAAAAGAAAACCAAUCCCUCUGUGGGAAGGAAACAAAAUUUAAUUUCAAGGUUAGCGACGCUUAUGAACUUGUGGAACGAGAGAUGUGCACAUCCCUCUCCAAUCAAAACAAUAAGAAAUGAAUGCAAUCAUUAACAAACUACACGUAUCAACGAAAUAAUACGUUUUAGCGGUCGAGUGAUAUUUUUAUUUCAACAAGCCUGUGGAGCCUGAUCAUCUAUUUACACACUACUAACGCUUAUUCCUCCAAGGGUAAUACUACUUCUCUCUCAUCCCAUGCUAUGUACUCGUUCCCAUGAUUUGGGACUUGCAAGAUGCUAGACACUUUUUUAAUACAUACGAUAUUAUCUGCAUUAAAGAAUAAAGGAGUGAGCUAAGCCUGAUAAUGGAUUAACCAUAAUAACUUGGUUCGAAUUUACUUUUGGGAAAAUUAAACAUAAGACAUCUCACAAGAAAAGAAGAAUACCAUAAAAUACCACUAGACUGUAAUAACAUAAGAGGAAUGCAAGACAAACAUAAAAGGGAAUGCUGGCAAUGACUCAUCUAAGUGCACUUAAUGUUGUUUUUAUCCUUUUAAGUGGUUCACGUAUUGUCCACGUGACAAAUAUAUACAUAACUUCUGAUGCAAUGUUGAGUGAUAAUUUAGCAACGGAGAGGUUGACACGACUGAAAUAAAACUUCAACAUGACUGAAAUAAAAACUCCAUGUAUUUUUUACUGAAAUAAAAACUCCAUGAAAAACCUAACACGAACUUACAAGUUUGGCAAAUAAAUGGACAAAAAAACCUCUAUGAAGGUUGAAAGAUCAAUAUUCAAAUUGUAUGUAUUCCUUUCUUUUUAGUGGCAUUUCCAAUUAGGGGUGGGUUCGGUUCGGUUUUUUGUCAAAACCGAAAAUCGAACCGAAAUUACUGUUCGGAUCAAUUUGGUUCGGUUUUCUAUUGGUUUGUAUUCAGUUCGGUUUUUUUGGAUCCAAUUUCGGCCCGGUUUGAUUUUUUUUUUUUUUCCAAUAGCAAAAAAAAAGUCCUAAGAAACAUAAGCACCCAAAAUAUAUGAAUAAUACUAUUGAAGAUGACUUCUCCAACAUGAAACGACCAUCAGAAAUUCCAGCCCACGUCUCUGCAAAGGUCAUAACAUUACAGCAAGGUUAAAGAUGUGAGUCCCAAACUUCAACACAGUCAUGGCAAUUUGAUCUCAUUGAGUUUGAACUUGAGCUUGAGGCCCUUGAGACCUUUGACACCAUUGACUUCAUCUAAUUCACACAAAAUAAUAAGAGGAUAAAUGAAAUUGAACAACACUAAAUUUAAAAUACAAAAAUAGUAGGUUUCCAUAUUCAUGUCCAUGCUUUCCAGAUUCAUAUAAAAAUAUUUUUCAAUUACUAUAUAGAGUGUAAUGCUCCAGAACUCCCUAAUUCCAUAUUGACAAACAAAAUCAGAAGGCCUACCAUCAACGUUCAUCACAAAAUCAGAAGGCCUACAAUUACUAGUUCUAAGUUCUAAGUUCUAACAUAGUAGACACUGCAAACCAACCAAUAACUAGUUCUAAUCAAUAACAGGACACUCCAUAGAGUGAACUUGGGCAAAAUAUAUGCAUCAAAAUCUAAAGAACCAAUGAAUAAGAAAUUGACAAACUGGGAAGCAAGCUGACCUCAACACAAAUUUUCAUCACCAGUGCAGAAAAAUAAGCUCAAAAUGCAGCAAACAUCAAGUCCCAAACUUUAACAAGUUAUGAGAACCAGUUCUAUGAAAGCACACAUUACGUCCCAAACUUUAACAGGUUAUCAAACAGGUUCAUAGCAGAUACUUGGAAAUCUAAUGGGGUUCAUAAAAAAACUAUAGUUAUACGCUAUAAAUCACGGAAUUUGUUGCCAAACACAAUGGUUUCGACAGGGUUAGAAACUUAGACAGCACUUUUACUCGUUGGGGUUGGCAAAUUUUUCCCAAUCUUGCCUAACUUUCACAAUCAGUUCAACAAGAAAAAGGCAAACAUAUAAGAGAUCCAGAGGAACAAAGAUGGAUGUUUGGUGUGACCUCCAUAUGAAUCCCAGAGUAUAAAACUAUUUGGCAUGUAUUUGAAAGGUAGAGAUCGAAAGUUUAUGUAGAAAGCAAGGAAUAUUAGAAGGGAGUGAAGUUGUUGUAGGUGAGAGUCCAUAGAGAGAGUCUAUCAGACGAGGAGUAGAGAGACAAGAGGCGUAAGAUUUGGAGAGGGAAAACAUGGGGAUUGUCAAGUAAAUUCAUCACAAACCCUACGCCUCUUGUGGUAAUCCUUUGAAAAUGUAAGAUCCAAAUUACAACCAUGGACUUGGCAGGUUGGAGAGAGGAAGAGAGGAAGGAGAGAGAGAGAGACUGAGGAAGCAGAGAUGAAGAAAGCAAUGAAUGGGAGAGUGUUUGAAAAUGAAAAGGGGUGACGGUUCGAUUCGGUUCGGUCCAGUUUUCAGACCUUAAAAAUCGAAACCGAACCAACCAAAUUCGGUUCGGUUUGGUUUAACACAUUCGAUUUGGUUUUUUUCGACCUCGAUUCGGUUUGGUUGUCAGUUUUUUUCGAUUUUCGGUUUUUCCAACCCACCCCUACUUCCUUCAUCCAAAAUCCUCUCUCUCGUCUGUCGUCUACUUUUAAAUGAUUAAUUUCUCACAAGAGUAAACUGUCAAUUUGCCCCCUGAACUAUCACCCAACUUUCGAUUUGCCCCCUGAACUUUUUAAUUGGAAAAUUAAGGACUUAAACUAAUUUUUUUGGCCGAUUUCCCCCCUACCGUUAGUUUUUCAUAAAUUUCAUUCAAAUUAACGUUAACUCUUAUCAUGUGCAAACCACGUAACUCUCAUUUGUGGACAAAAGCGUCAUUUCACUAGACCUUCAAACAGAAAAGCUAUAGAAUCACACAUAUUUGCAUAGGUUUAUAUUUUAGAAAUCUAAGGUUUUCAAUUAUUUUAAAGAAUGAAGUGACCGAACUACCCACACAUGUUGUGCAUAUGCUUCCAUUUAACAGAAAUUUGGAUGGAAUGAAUGAAAAAUUAACAUCAGGGGGCAAAUCGGCCAAAAAAAUUAGUUUAAGUCCUUAAUUUUCCAAUUAAAAAGUUCAGGGGGCAAAUCAAAAGUUGGGUGAUAGUUCAGCGGGCAAAUCGGCAGUUUACUCUUUCUCACAAAAUUUACAGAUAAUAUUGUUAAAUCGAAUCGGAGCGACGCAAUCUGUGAAGAUAGCUCUUCAGUUGACGUCCAUCAUCCCCCUCAUCAUCCUAAUUUCUCUAUGCCUGGUUGCCCCUCUCAUCCACGCCAAGGACGUCAACUAUUGCGGUGGGUUUCUCACACUAACCGUUUUCUCUUUUCCUUUAAUUUAUGAAAGCAUGAUACUUUCCUUUCGGAACAAGUUUUCAAUUCUCUGUUUGUUUCCUGAGAAAAUUGCAAAUUUUCCACCUUACAGUAAUUCAACUAAUUGCUUCAUUGUUUGUAGUCAAAUACGAUUUGGGCUCUUCUGUUUUUGAUACAAUCACAACAAGAAGGAAUCUUUACUAUGUAUAUGCAUCUACACUCUCUAGCUGAUUAGACAAAGUCAACAUCUUUGAUAUGUAUUUGCAAUUUCAAAUUGUUUAAACAAAAAUAUAAAAUUUGGGUUUUGUUUCUCUUUCGAUAGUUUUGGUAUUGGAUUUAUGUAUUCAAUCGAAUGGUAUUUCGGUGUCGAAUUUUGUUAUGGUUUGUUUGGUUCUUGUUAUACUGAUGUUGGUUAAAUGAAACUUAAGCGGAUUUUGGAGUAUCUUCGGAUUGUAGGAAGUGUAGAGCGAUGGAAAUACUUAACAAGUUUAUGAGAAAUCUAAGUUUCUACAGCAGAGCUCUUGUAUUACUUCUUAUUGUAACUCUCUUGAUACAAAAUGAUAUGCCAAAGGCUAUAUAUAUAGUGAAUACAAAGUACUAGAGAGUUCUAACUAGAAAGUUCUUCCUAGAUAACUUAACAGACAUAGGCUAGGAACAAUGACUCUAGAAUAAUUGUUCUUGGGAAAGUCUAGAGUCUUAACAUUUAGGAGAGUGCAUUAAUUCCAACCCAGAUAAGAAGGCUGACUAUGAUGUCAAGGUCUCUGCGGUUGAGAUUAAUCUUUACCCCGUGGCAAGAGGCAAGCUUGCCAGCUUCAGCAUUUCUGAAACUGCAGGUUCUAUCUCACACUUGUAACUUUUUGAGUGAGUUUUUGUUUGCAUGUAAUUGUUAUUAGAUAAACACAAAAACGAAUCAGAUAAUCCAACACUGUUUGAAGAGCUUUUGGGAAUUUAGUUUUAACUAGAGUAAACUCGUAUAUGUGGUAAUAGGUGUAUCAAUCUCUUGGGGGAAAUUGGUGAUUGAGGUUUCAUACUUUGGUUGGCACAUCCACAGUGAGACUCAUGACCUUUGCCGCAGAAACAUCUUGCCCAGUUUCAACCGGUGAUUUUGUGAUUGCCCACUCGCAAGAUUUACCAGGAUAUACUCCACCUAUAAGUCCUCCUUGCCAUAUCUACUUAUUAUAUUAUUUUGGCUUUUAGUGCUACCCGUGAGUUGUCCCUACAAACUUGAAUAAGCCUAUGAGUUUAGUUGUUGGUUUCUGUUUUGACCAAUACAAAGUUUAAGUUGAUCCCGCCUGAAUUUUUUGAAUAGAAUGAAAUAGUUUAUGCUUAACUGUUAGAUUGUCACAUUAGAAAAAGGAUGAAAACAGCCAAAGGUCGUAUUGUAAGUAAUACAAAGGUGCAUUUUUCACGUUUGGGUCUGCUAACUAUUCGAAAUUGCUCUGUUUCUAGUUAGAUCUUUAGUCUUGUAACUUGUUACGCAUGCAAAAUGACGAUUUGAUAUGCUUUCGCUUCUUCAUUGUUGGACUCUCUCUCAUUUGCGGAGUGUUUUAUUUUAAUCCUUCUCAGUUUCUAACCCAAGGAUUUUCUUUCUUGUUUUGUAGUCUGUAGUUGAGUUAAUUAGAGGUUCCAAAAGAAGAAUCUGGUUUUAGUUUUGUCUUUCUUCCUCUUCUUUUGGCAAGAAGAUUAGAAAUAUGGCUGAGGAAGUUGUUUUAAGGGUACUUUGAGCACUCAAAGGCCCCAUCCUUAGGGAAGUGAAGUUGUGUCGCCGAUCAAGUUCUGGAUGCAGAACAUAAGCUAUUUUUUAUAAAAGGCUUUCUAAAUGACGUGGAUGCAAGACAAGUAAAGCAAGAAUUAGUAUGCAUUUUGGUUGAGUACUUGGUGAAAGAAGAAAAACUCAACCAAGUUGUUUCCAUUUGAGGAAUGGGAAGGUAUGGAAAAAUCACUUUUGCAAAACAAGUUUAUCAUCACAGUAAUGUUAGGGGUUACUUUGAUGGGUUUUCUUGGGUGUGUGUACUUAAUAAUGUCAAAUAGGAAAGUCUGGUAAGAAAUUUUAAUUGGACUUACUUCUGACACCAUGAGCUAACACAAAAUAUUGCAAAAUACUGAAAUACUUGAGAAACUUUGCAUCAUCCAACGAGAAAGGAAAUGUUUGGUGGUGUUUGAUGACAUUUGGAGUUGUGAUGCAUGGAACUCUUUGAAAUCUGGAUUUCCAAUUGAUGCAGAAAUAAAAGUCAAAUACUACUCACCACCCAUUGCUCAUAAGUAGCUCCAUGUGUAGACAGAAAUGGUUUGAAUCACAAAUCUCGUCUACAAAGUAAAGAUGAAAGCUUUUUGAGAAGAUAGUAACGUAGUGUACAAGUAAUUUCACACUCAGCUUUGCUAUGCUUUCUAGUUUUAUCAUUGUUUUGUUUUUUGCCUGUGGAAUAUGCUUAGUUUUCUUAUUUAUUAAGCAAGCUUGUUUUUUAGUCUAGAAUCAAUUUAGCCUUAUUAAUAGAUAUUCCCAAAUGAGUUUUUCUUGAUAAAGAAUAGAGGAAAAUGAUACAUUAGAGGAUGGGCGAUGCACUUCAUCGGGCAAAUUCAUCCAGCUUCUAGCAAAUGGCACACGUUCAUAAUUGUGGCAACAAAUUACUUCACCAAAUGGGU
rnacentral:lncRNA from 1 species